AUUGAACGCUGGCGGCAUGCUUUACACAUGCAAGUCGAACGGUAACAGGCCGCAAGGUGCUGACGAGUGGCGAACGGGUGAGUAAUGCAUCGGAACGUGCCCAGUCGUGGGGGAUAACGCAGCGAAAGCUGCGCUAAUACCGCAUACGAUCUCUGGAUGAAAGCGGGGGACCGAAAGGCCUCGCGCGAUUGGAGCGGGCGAUGUCAGAUUAGGUAGUUGGUGGGGUAAAGGCUCACCAAGCCAACGAUCUGUAGCUGGUCUGAGAGGACGACCAGCCACACUGGGACUGAGACACGGCCCAGACUCCUACGGGAGGCAGCAGUGGGGAAUUUUGGACAAUGGGCGCAAGCCUGAUCCAGCAAUGCCGCGUGCAGGAAGAAGGCCUUCGGGUUGUAAACUGCUUUUGUACGGAACGAAACGGUCCUGGUUAAUACCUGGGGCUAAUGACGGUACCGUAAGAAUAAGCACCGGCUAACUACGUGCCAGCCGCCGCAGUAACAC
rnacentral:rRNA from 1 species